AUUGGCUCCAGUCUCUGCAAGGAGCACGCUGUGCCGCUGUUUUCUGUAUCACAAGUUGGUAGCAGGCUCUGCUUAGGCGUGGAAGGCCUUCCCGCCAUUUUGGCUAGCUUGGGUCUGUGCUCUUUCAGUGCAGCAGAUGUUCGUAGGCCUUAGCAAGCUUCCACUGACUCCCUGACGUAGGAGAGUUCCGAUAGAGGUAUUGAUGGGUUCUCC